GCAAGUCGAGGGGUAACAGUAGUGCUUGCACUUGCUGACGACCGGCGCACGAGUGCGUAACGUGUAUAUAACUUGCCGUUGUCUGGAAGAUAGCCCGGAGAAAUCCGGAUUAAUAUUCCAUGGUAUCUUAAGUGAGCAUUUACUAAAGAUUAAAGAUUUAUCGGACAGAGAUAGAUAUGCGUCCCAUUAGCUAGUUGGUAAGGUAACGGCUUACCAAGGCGAUGAUGGGUAGGGGGGCUGAGAGGAAGGUC
rnacentral:rRNA from 1 species